GUAUUGUGGUGGGGACUAUACCUCGUCAGAAGGUGUUUGGUCUUAGCCAGCGAGGACGACUUGCACGCGAGAAUUCAGACCCCUUCGUGCAAACACCAAUCAGUCGUCGAUAGCCAGCGAAGCCGCUUUUUGGG
rfam:Candidatus Burkholderia kirkii TZHbot1, WGS project CAFE01000000 data, contig: bkir_c170